CUAGCGGCAGGCUUAACACAUGCAAGUCGAGGGGUAACAUUGUGCUUGCACAGAUGACGACCGGCGCACGGGUGCGUAACGCGUAUAGAACCUACCUUUUACUGAGGGAUAGCCUUUAGAAAUGAAGAUUAAUACCUCAUGGCAUUGAGUAAUCGCAUGAUUAUUUAAUUAAAGAUUUAUUGGUAAAAGAUGGCUAUGCGUCCUAUUAGUUAGAUGGUAAGGUAACGGCUUACCAUGACUUUGAUAGGUAGGGGUCCUGAGAGGGAGAUCCCCCACACUGGUACUGAGACACGGACCAGACUCCUACGGGAGGCAGCAGUGAGGAAUAUUGGGCAAUGGAGGCAACUCUGACCCAGCCAUGCCGCGUGCAGGAAGACUGCCCUAUGGGUUGUAAACUGCUUUUAUACAGGAAGAAACACUGGUAUGUAUACCAGCUUGACGGUACUGUAAGAAUAAGGACCGGCUAACUCCGUGCCAGCAGCCGCGGUAAUACGGAGGGUCCGAGCGUUAUCCGGAAUCAUUGGGUUUAAAGGGUCCGCAGGCGGUCGAUUAAGUCAGAGGUGAAAUCCCAUAGCUCAACUAUGGAACUGCCUUUGAUACUGGUUGACUUGAGUCAUAUGGAAGUAGAUAGAAUGUGUAGUGUAGCGGUGAAAUGCAUAGAUAUUACACAGAAUACCGAUUGCGAAGGCAGUCUACUACGUAUGUACUGACGCUGAGGGACGAAAGCGUGGGGAGCGAACAGGAUUAGAUACCCUGGUAGUCCACGCCGUAAACGAUGGAUACUAGUUGUUGGGAUUUAUCUCAGUGACUAAGCGAAAGUGAUA
rnacentral:rRNA from 1 species